AAUCAACGCUGGCGGCGUGCCUAACACAUGCAAGUCGAACGCGAAAGCCCCGCGAGGGGUACGUUGAGUGUCAAACGGGUGAGUAACACGUGGGUGACCUGCCUUCGCGUGGGGGAUAACGUCCCUAAAGGGACGCUAAUACCGCAUCACAUCCUGCUUUUGACAAAGCGGAUCUCAAAUCUGGGGAUCGCAAGACCUAGCGCUUGAAGAGGUGCCCGCGGCUGAUUAGCUAGUUGGGGAGGUAACGGCCCCACAAAGCCACGAGCAGUAUCCCGCCUGAGAGGGGGGACCGACACAACGGGACUGGGACACGGCCCAGAAUCCUAAGGGAGGCAGCAGGGGGGAAAUGUUCGCAAUGGGCGCAAGCCUGACGACGCAACGCCGCGUGGAGGACGAAGAGCUUCGGGUCGGAAACUCCUGGCGAGCGGGACGAACGCUUCGCGGAUGAAUAAACCGAGGAAUUGACGGUACCGAUAAAGAAAGCCCCGGCUAACUCCGUG
rnacentral:rRNA from 1 species